CCUACAAUCACCCAUGCUGGCAUGGUGAGGAGAUGCAGAGUAUCUUUCUGUGCCAAGAAAGAGGGCUUCUACCACAGGUGCCUCAGAAGAAACCAAGAAGCAGUUAAGAAGCUGUCUGGUGCUCAGAGAAGGUUACAGAGAUGGUGGAAGAGCAACUGAUGUCACCUACCUGGAUUUGUGCAAGGCAUUUGACACUGUCCCACAUGACAUCCUGGUCUCCAAACUGACAAGGCAUGGAUUUGACAGAUGGAACACUCAGUGGAUAAGAGAUUGGCUGGAUGCCUGCACCCAGGGAGUUGUGGUCAAUGGCUCACUGUCCAA